rnacentral:rRNA from 1 species
UCUUUUUCCACCGGAGCUUGCUCCACCGGAAAAAGANGAGUGGCGAACGGGUGAGUAACACGUGGGUAACCUGCCCAUCAGAAGGGGAUAACACUUGGAAACAGGUGCUAAUACCGUAUAACAAUCNAAACCGCAUGGUUUUGAUUUGAAAGGCGCUUUCGGGUGUCGCUGAUGGAUGGACCCGCGGUGCAUUAGCUAGUUGGUGAGGUAACGGCUCACCAAGGCCACGAUGCAUAGCCGACCUGAGAGGGUGAUCGGCCACAUUGGGACUGAGACACGGCCCAAACUCCUACGGGAGGCAGCAGUAGGGAAUCUUCGGCAAUGGACGAAAGUCUGACCGAGCAACGCCGCGUGAGUGAAGAAGGUUUUCGGAUCGUAAAACUCUGUUGUUAGAGAAGAACAAGGAUGAGAGUAACUGUUCAUCCCUUGACGGUAUCUAACCAGAAAGCCACGGCUAACUACGUGCCAGCAGCCGCGGUAAUACGUAGGUGGCAAGCGUUGUCCGGAUUUAUUGGGCGUAAAGCGAGCGCAGGCGGUUUCUUAAGUCUGAUGUGAAAGCCCCCGGCUCAACCGGGGAGGGUCAUUGGAAACUGGGAGACUUGAGUGCAGAAGAGGAGAGUGGAAUUCCAUGUGUAGCGGUGAAAUGCGUAGAUAUAUGGAGGAACACCAGUGGCGAAGGCGGCUCUCUGGUCUGUAACUGACGCUGAGGGCUCGAAAGCGUGGGGAGCAAACAGGAUUAGAUACCCUGGUAGUCCACGCCGUAAACGAUGAGUGCUAAGUGUUGGAGGGUUUCCGCCCUUCAGUGCUGCAGCUAACGCAUUAAGCACUCCGCCUGGGG